UACGUAGGUAGCGAGCGUUGUUCGGAGUUACUGGGCGUAAAGCGUGCGUAGGCGGUUGUCUAAGUUUGGUGUGAAAUCUCCUGGCUUAACUGGGAGGGUGCGUCGAAAACUGGGUGACUGGAGUGUCGGAGAGGUAAGCGGAAUUCCUGGUGUAGCGGUGAAAUGCGUAGAGAUCAGGAGGAACACCUGUGGUGUAGACAGCUUACUGGACGGUAACUGACGCUGAGGCACGAAAGCGUGGGUAGCAGACAGG
rnacentral:rRNA from 1 species